ensembl:lncRNA
AUGGAAAUUUUCAUCAACAAAAAAGUAGAAUAUAAUAAAGAAAAUAAAAAAAAAAGAUUAACUAAAAGAAAUAAUAAUAAAAAUAGAAAAAUAUGUGAACCAAACGAUUAUAAGAAAAUACAUAACACAAUACAUAAUAAAAAAUUUGACAUUACAUCUGCAACUGAAUCCAACGAAACAAGUAGUAAUAAUAAUGAUAAUAAUGAUAAUAAUAAUAAUAAUGAUAAUAAUAAUAAUAAUAAUAAUAAUGAUAAUAAUAAUAAUAAUGAUAAUAAUAAUAAUAAUAAUAGCGAAUUCGAAAUUUCAGACGAAAGUAAAAAACAAUUAAUUAAUACAUAUUAUUAUAAACUAUUAGUAGAAGUUUUUGUCCCUCUUUUGAUUUGUGUUGAUACUAAAGUAGCAUAUAAAAAAAAUAUAUUCACAAAAAUAAAUAAUUAUUUAUUUAACCAUGCAAUAUCUUUUAAGCGUUUAAAAAAAGAGGAUAUGUUAUUAAUAAUGAAACAAGAAAAUGGUAAGUUAUAUAAUAUAUUUUUAAAUCAUUUAAAAUUAAAUUUGAAAAAUAUUAAUAGUAUAUAUAGAGCUUUUGUUAUUUUAUUAAAUAGUAGAAGACAUUUUGAUAAACAUGUAUGGGAUCAUGAAAUACAAAUAAAUGAGGACGUAAUGAAAAUAAUAAAAGAGUAUGAACUUAAAAAUAUUCAAUCAAGAGCUGAACAUGUAUUAUUUGGUGAUUUAAAUAUUUAUACACAUUCAAAAAGUAGUGAUCAAAUACAUAGGGAUAAAAUGGAUAAGAAUAAAAUGGAUAAGGAUGAUGAAGAAUAUAAAUUACAAAAUGGUAUUACUGAUACAUCAAUAAAUCUAAAAUUAGACACUUCAAUUGAAGCGACUAAAUAUAUUAUGGCUAGCACUGAAAAAAUGUCCAAUAAUAGUACUAGUAAUAAUGAUACUUUUCAAACGAAUAUAAAUAAUACAACUAACAUAAUAACAAAUAUAAAUUCUUUUAUACUCUCUAAAAACAAAACAAAGAAAGAUCGAAAUAAAAAAGAAGAGCUUAAUAAUGAGUAUACGAAAAAAGAUAUUAUGUCUAAUAAAGGGUUAUUAAAUAGUUGGGAUAAUUUUGAGCAAUUAGAUAACCCAAGUGAAGAAUUCGGAACCGACGCAGUAACAGGUAAACAAAAUAAUUUCGUCACUAACGAUAGUAAUGGCAACAAUAUCGAUUAUAAUAAUGACCAAAAUAAACACGUUUCUUUUAAACAUGGUAUAUCAGGUAUACUAAAAAAUAAUAAUAAUAAUAAUAAUAAUAAUAAUAAUAACAUACAUUAUAAGGAUGGUAAGUUUCGUAGUAAUAGUAUAAUGUUACUUGAAGGGGAUGAAGAUUAUACGCUAUUCGAGGAACAAUUAAUAAUUACUAUUCCAAACUGUGAUUUACUUAGUCAUAAAAAUAAAAUAUACAACGAUAAUUUUUAUAUGUAUAUUUCUAGUAGUGAUGACGAUAGUGAUGACGAUAGUGAUGACGAUAGUGAUGAUGAUAGUGAUGAUGAUAGUGGUGAAAAAAAAAGUGGCGAGGAAAAAAAAAUAUUGAUAAAAAAAAAAGGGACAAGCACUACAGAGUCACCCAAUUUAGUUGGAAAAGCAAAAACAGAGGAAACAUCAAGUUAUUAUAAAAAUAUGAAAUACUUAAAAAGAAAAUAUAAAAAAUUAGUAUAUUUAAAUCAACGUUUCAACUUUUAUCAAAACUUUAAAAACAUGCAAAAAUUAAACAUAAAUGAUAACUGUUUAUAUUGGAUUGAAUUAUUAAAUAUAUUAAAAGAAGAUAAUGUACCUCCAAAAAUUGUUUACUCAAAUGAAAUAAAAACAAUUAACCCUUGUGAAUAUUUUGAGUCAUCUCUUAUAUUUUCUUUUAGUGUUAUAAAAUUUAUUUCUCUAAUUUUAAAUUCGAAUAAACUAUAUAGCAUAUGUUUAUCAUAUUUAAAAAAUUCAAGCAAGCAUGAUAAACCCGAUAAAAUAUAUAAUGAACAAAACAUUCAUAUUGAAAAAAAUAAAAUGGAAGAAAUGUAUUUUAUACAAUCAUUAUUUACAUCAACCAAAUUAGAAGCCUUAUGCUCAUUUAUUAUUAAACAAGUAUGUACUUACUUGCAAAAUGAUAAAACACCUUUCCACUUACCUAUUAUCAAAACUUUAGCUAUUAUAUCCAUAUUAAAGCCUUCUUCCUAUUUUUUGAUUAAUUCAAAACGGAAGUAG